GUUCUUGUAGUUGAAAUACAACGGUGAUUUUUCAUGUCUCUAGUCGUGGUUUAUACCCAUGUAGGAACU
rnacentral:tRNA from 1 species